UAAUUGAACGUUAAUUAUAAAAAAUUGUAUUUUUAAAAAAAAGGAGACAUGAUAAAGAUUAGGGGUGAUUGGAGUAAUAUUUACAUUAUUUGAAAAAGCGGAUAAAAAGUCAAAAGCCUCUGGAACCAGCGGGAGGAGCCCAGAGGGAGGAGAGAGAUGGGAAGUGAUGGCGAGGCAGAGAAACCGAACAUCAAACGGAAGAAGAAAACUAUAGCUUGUUCUUAAUGUAUUCUUUGACGAACAUCUGAAUCUAAAUGCUUAAAGAGAGGAGUGAAGGACGUGGUCAAGAGCAUUCUGCUGAGGCCACAAAGGGUUUAUCUUUGAUUUCCCACUAUCUUGCUAAAAUGCUAUUGAGAAAACGUUUGUAUGGUUCUUAAUCCUGAUAUUUUGCCAAAAUCUGUUAAGCA